rnacentral:rRNA from 1 species
CAGCCGCCGCGGUAAUACGAAGGGUGCAAGCGUUAAUCGGAAUUACUGGGCGUAAAGCGUGCGUAGGCGGUGAGUUAAGUCUGCUGUGAAAUCCCCGGGCUCAACCUGGGAAUGGCAGUGGAUACUGUUAGGCUAGAAUAGGUGAGAGGAAGGUAGAAUUCCAGGUGUAGCGGUGAAAUGCGUAGAGAUCUGGAGGAAUACCGAUAGCGAAGGCAGCCUUCUGGCAUCAUAUUGACACUGAGGUUCGAAAGCGUGGGUAGCAAACAGGAUUAGAUACCCCCGUAGUCCCUGUCUCUUAUAA